CCCAGGCUGGAGUGCAGUGGUGCAAACUCCGCAUCCGAGGUUCAAGCAAUUCUCCUGCCUCAGCCUCCUGAGUAGCUGGGAUUACAGGAGCCCGCCACCAUGCCUGGCUAAUUUUUGUAUUUUUAGUUGAGAAGAGGUUUCACCAUGUCGGUCAGGCUAAUUUCGAAUUCCUGAUUUCAGGGGAUUCACCAGCCUCGGCCUUCCAAAGCAGUGGGAUAGCAAGAUAGCAGACAUGUUUGAGGAGUUGAUGAAGAAAACAAUGAGACCCACUAUAGCUGUAGGGGCACUACCUUUUUUUGUUUUUCUCAAUGAUUCUCCUAGGAAAAAAUACAAGUACUCUGGAGGAGCUACUUCCAGAAAUGUCUUUGAAGAAGCAAAAGGAUGAAAAGGUACUGGACACUGUGAUAUGACACCCAAUCUUUCUCAAGGAAGGGCUUGAAUCUGCUGUUGGGAGUACUGUCAACAGCCAUCAGCUGUCAGCCUCUUCAGGCUACAGAUUACUAGAAGCCUAACACAGAGAAAAGAUGUUAUACUAAGGGGACUUAAGACCACAUCAUAUAAAGAGCAAUGCCAGGAUAUUGGGUCUGCAGUUGAAAAGUCUUCCAAGGAGGAAAGGGAACAGAGAAAAUGAUGGCUCUCAACUAUUCGAUAUUUUUUUAUUGAAUGGAUGCAAAACAGAGAUAAAUUUGUUACUGAAUACAACUAAAUAAAGGACUGUUUGGAAACAUUUAAUGAUUUUCUUUCUAACAGAUCCCUCUGCUGUAGGACUGCUGGAGGUCCACUCAAGACCUUGCUUGCCUGGGAAUCACCUGUGGGGGCUGCAGAACAGCAAGGAUUACUGCCUGUUCUUUCCUCCAUUAGCUUUGUCCCAGAAGUGUACCUGCUGGAUGUCAGCCAGAGCUCUCCUGUAUGAGGUAUCUUUUUGUUACAGGGGUCAGCGAGUCACUUGGGGGGGGGGGCAAUGUGUCCCUUAUAGGAGUUCAAGUGCUUUUCUGGGAGCUCCAUUGCUCCCUUUAGAGCUGCUAGGCAGGUAUGUUUAAGUCUGCUGCAGCGGAACUCACAAUGGCCCCUUUUCCCAGGUACUCUGUCCCAGGAAGGUGAGGUUUUAUUUAUGAGUCCCUGACAUGCUGCCUGUGUUUUUCAGAGAUGCCCGCCCAGCAAGGAGGGAGUCUAGUUACAGUCUGCCUGCAGAGGUGCUGCUGAGCUGUCACAGGCUCAGUCCAUCUGCUGUGUAAAAUUCCUCUGGCUUUUGUUUACACAGGUAUGUUAGAACCACCUUGGCAGAUAUCCUUUCCGCCAUCAAGUUCAAUCAUCUAGGGUCCAGCUCAAACUGAUUUGUUGGCUGUGAAACUCUCAAGCCAGAGGGUUUCAGUUUGCUGGUUUGUAGGGGAUGGUUCCUGCCAAGCUGUAUCACUUGGAUCCCUGCCUUCACCUCCCACUUCUUCUGGGGAAUGGGAAGCUCUGUCUGGCAGGCGCUCCAGGAGCCAGCCAAAAUGGCCACCCAGAUUUGCACUGAUAACCUGUGGCACUAGCCAGAACAGCCACUCAGAUCUGUGCUGGUAACUCCCUGUUCUUGUUGGCCCAGCAUGGAUCUUCUGGUCUUUGGGUUGUAAAGAACACGGGAGAAACACAGUAUCUGAACCAGAGUGCCAGAGGGAAAAAUUUCCCUCCUGAUGGCCUAUCUUGGGCAGGAGGGAAGUCGUCUGGCCAGUUGCACUUCCUGGGUAAGGCAGCACCCUGUCAUGCCUUGGUUUUCCCUCCUUGGCUUAUACCCACUGACCAGCCAGUCCCAUUGAAAUGAACCUGGUACCUCCGUUGGAAAUGUGGAGAUCACUUGCCUUCUGCAUCCCUCUCGCUGGAAACUGCGCUCCGGAGCUGUUCCUAUUUGGCCACCUUGGUGGAAGUGUGAAACUAUUCUGAUUCUUACUUAGCCUUUUUUGAAACUACCCUACCUGAUUGUUGUGGCACCUCAUUACAAUCUGUUGGUGGUGACAGUCUAUGCUAUCCCUUUGCCUUUGCCAGUAUGGAUAGGAUUGGGACAGUUUUUAUUGUGUGUGUGGUAUUUGGUUAGAGUAGUCAACUUUGUCUAAAAGUCUUCUGUCUUCCUUAGAUGUUACUUUCCUGGUCCUUUGGUUAGAUACAUUAGGCAUGUUGAGGAGUCAUUUUUAAUCAUUGUUUGUUUUCUGUGUAUCUGAUUUUAUUUCUUGGAGUAUAUAAGACAAAGGAAAUCCCUGUAAACUAAAAACUAUCUUAGCCCUUGUUGCCAAGGUCAAGGCUGUCCCCUCUUUUCUCAUUUCAUGGUCUCCUUCUGUUAGUUUUGUAAGUAAUGUCCAGGGUUUUUAGUUAUACUUAGUGGGAAGAAUAGGGUAUUGUAAUUCUAUUCAGUAUUCCCUUUGGUACAAUUUUAAUAGACAUUCUUGAGCAUUAAUAAAAUCCCCACAUUAAUUUAUUGUUCUGGGUGAUAGGAGUUAUUAUAAUGAUGAAUGCCAGGUCUGUGUCUGAAAUUACCCUCCACAACUAAGUUAGCAAAUAAAGAACGUUUUCACUUUCUAGGGGGUGAAUACCAGAUAUUCAUGCCAUCUUAGAUUCCAAAAGGAUGCAUGAAGAUGGUACCUAUUAUAUCAAUUUAAUUCAGUAUAUUGAUGUCAUACUAUACAUAGAUCAAAUGUGCUGGUACUGAAAAGUACUUUGGAAUUCGGUAAGAUGUUAAUUCUAAAACAUAGGAGAUAAACCCACCAAAUAUCCAGGGGUUAACCAUAUCAGUAAAGUUUUCAAAAGGGGCAGUGAUAUAGGAUAUAUGGUACAUGUCCAUCAGAAAAAAGGAAGAAUUAUUUCAUUUCACAUUUUUAUUCACCAUGAUGCCUAGUAAGUCUUUUUAGGUUCUGGUUGGAGUAGAUUUUACACUUGGGGAUACUGUCCUGGCACAUUUUCUAAGUGACAGAGAAGAUUUACAGUUUUCAAUCAUGCAUGAAAUAUGAAUGGCUUUGUGAUGGGUUUGGUAAAGGCAUGCCUGCCACUUGGACUAUAUGACUCAGAAGACCCUAUAAUGUUAUAAAUACCUGUGGUAAAGAAAGUUGCUGGCGAGCUCAUUAAAGAAAACUAAGAAUGGACUUUAGUGUUUUCAUGUCAUAUGCCAUGCCUUUUGUUGCAGGGCGAUAUACACUGUUAAAAAUGUGCUAUUCCAAAACCAGGACUGUGCAUUCUGCUAAGCACUCAUAGAGUGUGUAUGUGUGUGUGUGUGUGUGUGUGUGUGUGUGUGUGUGUGUGUGUGUAUGUAUAUAUAUAUAUAUAUAAACUCUCUGAAUAUAAAUAGUGAAGGGGAUUAUACUGGUUAUUGGCAUAAUAAAUUAUUUUCUCUGCGUAUGUGUAUGGAUCAUUUAGGUUUCUGAAGAGAUUCAGAGCCUCCUAAGUUGUAUAAACUAGACUGGCAGGCUGUAAAUUUAGGUUUUAGGCAGUAUAUAUAUUCUUCUAUUAGUUCUGUUUCUCUAGAUAAUCCUGACUAAUAUAGGCAUCAUAUAAUUUCCCAGUGUAGCCCACUCAGCUCACAAUUAUGACCACCUAUGUGUGUGAAGAACAUAUUUUUGAUUAGUGAUUGUUGGAGAAAAUCUAACCCUGUUUCCUGAAUUUGUUAACUUUGUAUGUGGUACAAGGUGAUACGAUUUUCUUGAAUAAGCCAGAAGUGCUCUUUCAUCAGAAUCUUUUCUGUUGUAUUACAUUACAGCACUUACUGUUUCUUCUGGAAUUUUUUUCCUUAGACAUCCUCACAGCUCACUCCCUCACUUUAUUCUUGUCUUUAACUUCACCGAUAAAAAUCUGCUUAUGAGGGGACUCUUUUCCUUCCUCCAUUCUGUAUAAAAUAAUAAAGUCUUCCUCCAAUCUUCUAAGUCCUUGUCCCAUUUUCCUUCUUUUUCU
ensembl:lncRNA